rnacentral:rRNA from 1 species
CCUUUCAACAACGGAUCUCUUGGUUCCCGCAUCGAUGAAGAACGCAGCGAAACGCGAUAGUUAAUGUGAAUUGCAGAAUUCAGUGAAUCAUCGAGUCUUUGAACGCAUAUUGCGCCCAUUGGUAUUCCAUUGGGCAUGUCUGUUU